rnacentral:rRNA from 1 species
UACGUAGGGGGCUAGCGUUGUCCGGAAUCAUUGGGCGUAAAGCGCGCGUAGGCGGCCCGGUAAGUCCGCUGUGAAAGUCAAAGGCUCAACCUUUGAAUGUCAGCGGAUACUGCCGGGCUAGAGUCCGGAAGAGGCGAGUGGAAUUCCUGGUGUAGCGGUGAAAUGCGCAGAUAUCAGGAGGAACACCGGUGGCGAAGGCGGGUCUCUGGGCCGUAACUGACGCUGAGGAGCGAAAGCGUGGGGAGCGAACAGG